rnacentral:rRNA from 1 species
GACGAACGCUGGCGGCGUGCUUAACACAUGCAAGUCGAGCGGAGCGGCGAACGGGUGAGUAACGCGUGAGUAACUGCCCCCCUCUCUGGGAUAACAGUUGGAAAAGGAUGCUAAUACCGGAUAGUGGGGGAUGACUCGCGUCCUAUCAGCUUGUUGGUGGGGUAGUGGGCUACCAAGGCGACGAGGGAUAGCCAGCCUGAGAGGGAGACCGGCCACAUUGGGCUGGGAUACGGCGCAAACUCCUACGGGAUGCAGCAGUGGGGAAUAUAGCACAAUGGGGGAAACCCAGAUGCAGCAACGCCGCAGCCGGGAUGACGGCCUUCGGAUUGUAAACCGCUUUCGGCCAUUACGCGGUAGUGGCAGAAGAAGCACCGGCUAACUACGUGCCAGCCGCCGCGGUAAUAC